rnacentral:rRNA from 1 species
UGAGCGAUCCUCAGAGGAAGUACGGGCUAAGUUCGUGCCAGCAGCCGCGGUAACACGAACCGUACGAACGUUAUUCGGAAUUAUUGGGCUUAAAGAGUGCGUAGGCGGCCUAGCAGGUUGGGUGUGAAAUCCCUCGGCUUAACCGAGGAACUGCGCUCAAAACCGUUAGGCUAGAGGGAGAUAGAGGAGAGCGGAACUAAUGGUGGAGCGGUGAAAUGCGUUGAU